UCCGGGGGCCGUGGGAGAAUCAAGACCCAAAGAGAGGUCUCAGCGUGUGACAGUGAUGCCACAGAUCUCCACGGCAAGCCCUGGAAGGGGAGCAGAGGACAGCGGUGCCCUGGGCAGGGGACAGAGUGGGUCACGGGCAGCUGCUGGGGCCGUUCCUGUCUGCAUCUGCCCAGGUGCUUGCCCCGUGAGCCAAUCCGCGGAGGAGGGCACCAUCCUGGGGUUGGAGGGCGUGGGCACUGUCCCAGUCCUGCGCAGGGGUUUCCUGCCAAAGAGAACACCCAGAAGCCUCUGCUGCUGUGGCCAUCUGCUCCCGGGUGGGGACACCGUGUGCCCCGCCCGAUCCUGGUGCCCUGGCGCCCUGUUGCCCCAGGCCUCCCCCGCGGGCUCCGAUGGCGUCUCUUGCUGAGACUGGAUCUCGCCCACCUGCCAGCGUCUCUCUUCUUGGUCGCAGACUCUCCCUCCCGGGUCCCGGGUGAUUUCUCUUUCCUGGGAGAUGCGUCCACUUCGCGAAGGUCCUCGGAUCCAGCUCAAGGUUGAGGGUCGUCCCCUGAGUUCCCUGGACUCCUGUUCUGCUCCUCUUUGUGGCUUCCUCCUCGACCUGGGACACGGGUGCAGCAAAACCAGUGAGAAGCGCCCUUCCACGGAGACCUUGGCCGUCCGCGCCCCUGCCCUGUGGGGGGAGCUGGGUGGCCGCCUGGGAGCGGCGGGCACUGGGCUGGGUCCAGGCUGGUCUAGGGCUCGGGGUUCUCCAGGGAGCAGCUGCGGGAGGUGUCCACCAGGAGAUUCUGUGGGGAAUGGCUCGCAGCGUCACGGGGCCAAGAGCCCCAGCCCGGCCAGCUGUGUGCAGAGGACAGAGGGGCCGACGGCCUGGUUCCAGCUCGAGCCCAGGCGUGGGACCCGGUGCUGAGGGUGUGUCCCCGCCCAAGCCUGCGGGCAGAAGACCCGUGUCCAGCUCCAGCAUGGCCUGGGGACAAGAGCAGACUCUCCGCCCGGGUUUUCUGACCAGGCCUCCCCCGAGGAGGCCCGUCCACAGGGGAGGCCCCGGCGGUCCUCAGACUGCCUCACCCAGAGACCCCCUCACCGACACACCCAGAAGGACGUUCAGUCCCACACGUGGCGCCCGGCGGCCAUCGAGGGUCACACAAAGUGGACCACGCAGCUGGAGUGGAGGGAUCAGAGGCAGGCAGCAGGGCCGCGAGGGCAGCGGGAGGGAGGCCGUUCGCUCCCUCUGGGGGUUUGCUGGUGGAUCAUUAGAUGGGGUGUGGGAGGGGCCAGAGGGGACCCCAGGACCACAAGGUGAGCAGAUGGCAGGUGGCGUUGUGCCAUCGAGGUCGGGACAUCUGUGGGGAGGGCUCGUCCAGGGAGGAAGACGGGAACUCUGGUUUUUGGAAUGCCGAGUUUGAGAGGUCUCUUCGAGACGGAGUGUGGGUGGAGUUGGAGGCCGGACAGCGUCAGCAGAUGGCACUCACGGCCGUGGGAGGAGGUGCCAUCUCAGGAUGAGUAGAGAUGACCGGGGAAGAGGCUGCUGGGAGGUGGGGCAGGGCCAGCAGAGGGACUGGCAGACCAGGCAGGGAGUAGGGGAGGGGCCAGGAGAGAGGCUGAGCCUCCAGGACACGAGAAGAACCACUGGAGUCAAUGGUCUGAGAGGACGGGUGCAGUGGACCGAGACCUGACCACUAGCUUUAGCAGCAUGGAGGUUGUUGGUGACCUUGACAAGGGCAAAUUCUGUGGAGUAGUUGGAGCCUUUUGAAGAGGUUACUGUAGAGUGGGAAGUGGAGCGGGAAAGCGAAGGUACAGAUGGUCCUUCCGACAUGUGUCUCCCCUCCUAGCCUUCUGCCUUGUGCAUCAUUGGAUUUACCAAGAGUUAACAUGAUUCAUUGUUGCCAAAGAACCAGCAGCUGGAUUUAUUAGUUCCCUUUUUUUCUUUUCUAUUUUUAACUCCAUUUCAGUUUUAAUUUAUUUAUUGCUUUCUUAUAUCUAUAUUGGGUUUAUUUUGUCUUCCUUCUCUGGCUUUUUGAAAUGGAUGAUUAAUUCAUGCAUUCUUGUGUAUUAAUAAAAAUCAUUAAUUUUUAAGGCUAUGAAUUUUCCUCUGAGCAUUGCUUUGGCUGCAUCACCAGGUUCUGAAAUUUUUUUUUAUUCC
rnacentral:lncRNA from 1 species